UUUUGUAGAGGAGAGACUAUAACAGCUGUUAUAGCAAGUUUAACCAGGAAAUUAUACUUUGAGGUCCAUCUACUUCAGGGCUAAACCAGGGAUCAGCAGGACAUCAACUAUCUGUAUCAUACAGCAGCCCAUCCAGCGAUCAUGAUGUGGUUGAAGAGGUGUCACAGCAUGGUAUUAUGGCCCUGGCACAUGGGGUCUUGAGGUGUUUGGAGAGUCCUUUCAUGAAGUUGAAAAUGAUGCUGCUGCAACUGUAGUGACAGAUGUGGAGAGGAACUUGCCUGGCUAUUUGGAAGAGGCUACCACACUGGAUGUUUAACGGGGAUGCUGUUGACCAACAGAACUAGUUCAGACCACUGCUGAUGGCAGUUCCACACAUCAACCAGAAACAGUGUAUCACUGUAGAUGUAGCUGAACAGAUGUUAUGCAUGGCCUGGUGACAGAGGGUUUCCACCUCCUGCUGCAGACAAAUGAUAGGUCACAGCAAUGGCAUAGGUCAGAUGUCUGUGUGCUUUCCUGUAAUACAGAUUGUGGUGCACACCAGGUAUGUAUCACCCAUGAAGGGCAAGAAUGCAGACACCGUGAGAUUAUGGCUGCGUUGGGUCUCAGAAUAAGAGUCUGCUUGCUGAGGCAUGGUCGGUUGAAACUCUGGCCCCUAAGGUACUGCAGCUGUGUCAUACUACCAGCAGAAUUCUGCUUUCUCUGUCUGUGUUCAGCAGAUUGAAACACAGGAGAGGCAGGCCACCUGCCCACUGAACCACCGUUGGCCAUUGAAAAUUACUGUCUAUGGUCUAACCUGUACAAAGUUCAACUACUCGCCCAUCUGCUAUGGUCCUACCAGUCACAAGGUCUUCAACUCACAGUCAUGAUCCUUCAGCUCAACAUGGUUUUGUCACCCUAUCAAUUUCCUCUGUGGAGCAACCAGGACAACAUGUGUCUGUACGUGGUCAGGGUAGUGUAGACCAUGGUGUGAGAUAUCAGUAAAGUCACCCUGGACUGCGUUAGAAUGUGUUGAACUGUGUAGUACACAUAGCUGGCUCAUAUUAUUGACUUACCACUUUACUGUGAUAUGUGCCUUCUAAUAUUGAAA